rnacentral:rRNA from 1 species
UGGGGAAUAUUGGACAAUGGGCGAAAGCCUGAUCCAGCAAUGCCGCGUGAGUGAUGAAGGCCUUAGGGUUGUAAAGCUCUUUUACCAGGGAUGAUAAUGACAGUACCUGGAGAAUAAGCUCCGGCUAACUCCGUGCCAGCAGCCGCGGUAAUACGGAGGGAGCUAGCGUUGUUCGGAAAUACUGGGCGUAAAGCGCACGUAGGCGGCGCAGCAAGUCAGGGGUGAAAUCCCGGGGCUCAACCUCGGAACUGCCCUUGAAACUGCAGUGCUAGAAUCUUGGAGAGGUCAGUGGAAUUCCGAGUGUAGAGGUGAAAUUCGUAGAUAUUCGGAAGAACACCAGUGGCGAAGGCGACUGACUGGACAAGUAUUGACGCUGAGGUGCGAAAGCGUGGGGAGCAAACAGG